AGGUAAUUGGGAUUGUCUCUGCUGCAGCAGCCCACACGUGUGAUGGAUGACCCAGCCACACAGGAAGGCAAUGCUUCUGUCCUCAGGUCACCCCUUUCUCACCCUUCCCGAGUGAAAGUGUCUGGAGGUGCAGCAUCCAGCAGCCUUCUGGAAGGGACAAAUGAUUACACCAUCCUCCACAUGAUCACACCUGCUGGGGACACUGAGGUUUGGGGAUUGCCAGCUUCACUUGGACCUUCUUGCUCCGGUCCCACACACCUCCCAGUACAGUCUUGAAGUGCUGGCUGAUGUUUAUUUUUUUCUUCAGGAGCAUUAGGCAGACUUAAACACUGUUUCUCCAACUCAUGUGUACUUGACCCCCUCCUCCAGAGCCAUCUCUGACAAACACAGCUGCGUCUUGGUUUUGGCAGGGCUGUGUUGCAUGUCCUGGAGCCCAGACUUUCCUCUUUCUGUUAGCAGCACCUGGUUUGCUUUGCUUUGCCCUCCAGAAACUUCUGCUGGUCAGAUGAGGAGGGAAUGUGAGUAACUUGCUUGUUUAACUUCUAGCUUCCCGUGGAUUACUUUGUAGGCACCACUCAAGUUGCAGCUGGAUUGUGGUGGCUUUUAAGUGCUACAAGAUUUUGGCAGCAUGGCUGCUGAUGCUCAGCUGCGCAACUGAGACGGUGAAGCUGGGAGAGAGAGUGGGAUAAGUUGGGAAAUGAUGCCGUAGGGCUGUUUCACCAUCGCUUCCCUGCAGAGGCAAACACCACUUAACCUCCCACCUCAUUUCUUCACUCAUCUGCCCACUGCAGAAGCCCUGCAAGGACAUCACAGGUGAUGAGUGGUUCUGUGAAAAACUUCUUCAGUUCGGGAGCUCUUCUCUGCUGUCCUCUGCUGACUCAGUUGCUGCCAAGAGCAAGUGCUGAUGAUGGCACUAGUGACCACAGCCAUGGGGGUGUACCAGUUCCUGGCAUUCUCCACCCCCAGUGCUGCAUCCUUACACAUGCGUUGGGGAAGAUGCUUGACACAAACAUUUUCCACUUAAAGCAAGAGAACAGACUCUUGACUGACAUUAUUUGUCAAGCAGCUGCAGAUAAACAAAACUUUUUUUUUUUUUUUUUUUUUUUUCCUCCAGAAACAGUGCUACACUUUCUUUUCCUCCCAGCAGACCCAGGUGUGCCCCACACCAGCACAGCAUUCAAUGCCCUGGGAGCCAAGGGUGCUGGGGCAUGGAGGGUGUGAUCAGUGCCAUCGCAGAUGUCCUGGGAAAUAGCAUACAUAAUAACACAGCCGGUGUGAUGAUACACCCACAUUUGGCUUCUUUCCUCCCUCCUUGUAAGAAGUUCAAGUAACUGGAAGAACUGGAUCGUCCAACCUGCCCCAGUCUGAUGUUGUUUCCAAGAAAAACCUCCCAACCCUCCAAACAACCCAUGGGAAGAAUAAUUAAAGGAGUGGAUCAAGGGGCCCUGGGGAAGAUUACUCCCACGUGCACUCGGAUAGGUGUGCUGUGUCGUCUUGCAGUCAGGGGCUGACUGCAUCAUGAACACCUCUGCUGUAUUCACAGCCGUGCGUAGAAGUGAACAGAAAAGUCAGAGUUUGGCACAAAGAGGGUGUCAGAGCAUGCCUCUUCUCCUGGGCUGCAUCCUCCAGCCACUGCUCCUAGACCUGCAUCGAUUCGCACGCAAGCACCUAAGGAGGCGACCCAGUGACUCCUGGACAAAGAACCUGGCAAGGUUUUGCUCUCAGCUCCCUGUUGCCUCUCUGCCUACAUGAAUUUUUUUGCUGUAGCUAAGAGUAAUUUGCAAUAAAUAUCUGCUCAGGUAUAAAACAAUCACCUACCUCAUAAAAGGUUUCCAGUUAAAUUGCCCAUGUUUGUGUGGGAGUGUUUUCUUUUCUGCUGGCAAAGAGUCCUUAUAAGGAGUAAUAACACUGAAGAAUCUGUUAAAGAAAAAUGUUUAUCGAAGCUUUACUACUUCACAGGUUUUACUGUAGAAUCAUUUACGCAAAGCUGUGAGUCACAAGCUGAAGUUCAGUGUCUGAAAUUGCUGGCAGAGUGAAUGAAUUUUGUGCAUGACAAAGAGAUUGGUAAUCUGCAUGCAUUACAGUCAAUUCAUAAUUGCUUUAAAAUCACAUGGCAAAUGAUUAUAAUUAGGACAGAAGCUGUUAAAAUCAAGAACAAAAGGAGGCCAGAACCUGAAGCUAUUUACUGCUAUAUUUCUUCUCUCUGAAGGUUUACGAAAGACAUCCCAACUCCUAAGCAGAAAACACAGUAAGAAAUCACCAGUGACCCUUCCAAACACUUUGGUGUCAGGAAAUUUGGCAGGAAUGUCUCCAAAGUACGACAUUUACUCGUGGUACAUGUCACAGGGACCUGGGCACAAAAGCCUGAAAUAGACAGGUCGUGACGGCAGUAACGCCAUUGUCCUGCCUGGAUGGCUGAGCCUACCUAGCAAAUUGAAAUGACCUCUGUCUGUGGCUGCUCUGUGUCCUCUGCGUCCAGGGCACUCGGUAUCUGCCAGUACAGACCUUCCUCUAAGGGGUUUUCUCUGCAGGAGCAAGGAGGAGCGUUGCCUACACAUGAUGGAACAUCUCCAUGGGUGAAAGACGCCUCGGGGAAGUACGUGUCGCUCCUGAAAGAGGUGGCCAUCCAUCAGCUGAGCGACUGGGACGAAUGGAGCAGGACAGAAAUCUUCAAUAGAGAUAUUGUGUCCAAGUGAGCUCCCCCACGGGGGUAAGGACCUUGCUGAAGAUCGCCCUGUGCAGGAGAAGGAUGCUGGCUGCAGAUUGCGUGGGCAAAACUGAAUCAAAGAGGUGAACUCACCCAGUUUGCGGCAGCUGGUACAGAUCAUUAUUUAACUGAAUCAGAGCAGAGCAAAUGCUUCCUACCCCAUAAAUCCAGAUGAGCUGAUAAAAGCCUUGAUUUUGUUAUCGAGACAUUACAUUUAAUUUUCUUUUGAGAUUUUUUAUCUAUUUUUUUUUUUGAGGAUCUUUUUUUUUGCAAGGUCAGCUCUUGUGCCCAGCCUGUUUUCUCACCUUUUUAGCUAUCCCUAACAGUGUUGUGCACUUUGUCACAGAUGUGGUUGGGCGAUGUCAGCCAGGGACUGAGGCCACGAGCCUCAACCCUACCCAGGAUCGCCCAACCUGCAUUGGUCCACACAGUAGAAGAAGAGCCAUCGCUUUGCAUCUGGGAGAUGGAAGGACUCAGGUUUCCUGACUUUGGUUCUGCUCUUCACCACAGCUUCUGACACAGAAGAAAAAGAAAAAAAAAAAAUCCAAAACAGGACUACUAUUUUCUUUUUGCAGGUGAGGCAGAAGUCACAUCAACCAUCAGUUGCUGCUGCCAGGAAGACACGAGGCUCCCAGCCAGCAGCCUGAUGAAGUCCCUCAAACAAAGGAUUUUUCUCUUUUCCAGUGACCCCUGGGUGACACAAGCAAUCCCUCUUACCUGGUAACCGGCAGCUCACACACAAGUUGCUUUAGGGCCCCUCUAAUAUAUGCUAAAAUGAGAUUAAUCCAGGGAAGGACCCUUGCCUCUCUUUCUGAGGCUCUGACAAGGAAGGUUUUCUCCAGGUGGCAUAUUUUGGAUCACAGCAACUUUUAGCUCUCUGCAAGAGGCGUGCUUCUGCCAAAUUUCCCCUUCCU